CUGAAUUUUCCCUUUAGUCAGCAUUAGGGUUUUAAACCCUAAACUGAACUUUUCCUUUAGUCAGCAUUAGGGUUUUAAACCCUAAACUGAACUUUUUCCAUUCAGCCGGCAUUAUGGUUUUAAACCCUAAACUGAGCUUUUCCAUGCAGUCAGCAUUAGGGUUUUAAAUCCUAAACUGAAUUUUCCCUUUAGUCAGCAUUAGGGUUUUAAACCCUAAACUGAACUUUUUCCAUUCAGCCAGCAUUAGGGUUUUAAACACUAAACUGAGCUUUUCCAUGCAGUCAGCAUUAGGGUUUUAAAUCCUAAACUGAAUUUUCCCUUUAGUCAACAUUAGGGUUUAAACCAUAAACUGA
rnacentral:lncRNA from 1 species